rnacentral:rRNA from 1 species
AACGUAGGUUCCGAGCGUUAUCCGGAUUUACUGGGCGUAAAGCGCGUUCAGGCGGUUUGGCAAGUCGGGCAUGAAAUCUCUCGGCUCAACCGGGAGAGGUUGUCCGAUACUGCUGGACUUGAGGGCAGUAGAGGGUGGUGGAAUUCCGGGUGUAGUGGUGAAAUGCGUAGAUAUCGGGAGGAACACCAGUGGCGAAGGCGACUACCUGGCCCAUUCUUGACGCUGAGGCGCGAAAGCUAGGGGAGCGAACGGG